rnacentral:rRNA from 1 species
UACGUAGGGUGCAAGCGUUAAUCGGAAUUACUGGGCGUAAAGCGUGCGCAGGCGGUUGUGCAAGACCGAUGUGAAAUCCCCGGGCUCAACCUGGGAACUGCAUUUGUGACUGCAAGGCUGGAGUACGGCAGAGGGGGAUGGAAUUCCGCGUGUAGCAGUGAAAUGCGUAGAUAUGCGGAGGAACACCGAUGGCGAAGGCAAUCCCCUGGGCCUGCACUGACGCUCAUGCACGAAAGCGUGGGGAGCAAACAGG